rnacentral:lncRNA from 1 species
UAUAUAAAGGUCAUUGAAGAAAAUGUAUACAAAUUGAACUCUUCCAUGUGGUCAUGUUUCUCACACCUUCCGCCCUCUAACCUCGGGACCUAAUCUUCAUUUUAAGCCGAUCGUGUAGCCUCGAGGCUUCAUCCGCAAUUCGAGAUGAACGCCCAGCCUCAAGGCGCCUGCUUCGUUGAGUCUUGUUGAGAGGUCUUUGAAGGGUUACGAGGUAGGUUACGCUAGAGCAAAACAAAAUUUG